GGUCCAGCCUGCCCUGUGAUAAUCACUUUUAACGGCCGCGGUAUCCUGACCGUGCGAAGGUAGCGUAAUCACUUGUCCUUUAAUUGAGGACCCGUAUGAAUGGCAUCACGAGAGUUUAUCUGUCUCUAUUUUCUAAUCAAUGAAAUUGGCUUCCUCGUGCAGAGACGAGAAUAAUAACAUAAGACGAGAAGACCCUAUGGAGCUUUAAACACUUAAGUUAAUUACUCCAUAUAAAUCACCCUCCGGGCAUAAAACAACAUAAAUAAAUCUAACUUAACUUGUUUUUGGUUGGGGCGACCAAGGGGAAAAACAAAACCCCCUUAUCGACUGAGUAUUCAAUAUACUUAAAAAUUAAAACGAAUAGUUUUAAUUAAUAGAACAUCUAACGAACAAUGACCCAGGACACAUAUCCUGAUCAAUGAACCAAGUUACCCUAGGGAUAACAGCGCAAUCCUUUCUCAGAGUCCCUAUCGCCGAAAGGGUUUACGACCUCGAUGUUGGAUCAGGACAUCCUAAUGGUGUAGCCGCUAUUAAGGGUUCGUUUGUUCAACGAUUAACAGUCCUACGUGAUC
rnacentral:rRNA from 1 species